AUUGAACGCUGGCGGCGUGCCUAAUACAUGCAAGUCGAACGGGUUGAGGACGGGUGAGUAACCCGUGGGAACCUACCCAUCAGAGCGGGAUAACGCUUGUAAACACGCGCUAAUACCCCAUACGGAUGGCUAGACCGGGGGUGGAUUGGCUAGUUGGCGGGGUAAAGGCACACCAAGGCGACGAUCCCUAGCUGGUCUGAGAGGAUGACCAACCACACUGGAACUGAGACCCGGUCCAGACUCCUACGGGAGGCAGCAGUGGGGAAUAUUGGACAAUGGGCGCAAGCCUGAUCCAGCCAUGCCGCGUGUGUGAAGAAGGCCUUCGGGUUGUAAAGUACUUUUGUUGGGAAAGCGUUACCCACAGAAGAAGCACCGGCUAACUCCGUGCCAGCAGCCGCGGUAAUAC
rnacentral:rRNA from 1 species